GGGCUGAAUGGUUGCUGAGACAGAGAUGGAAGCCAGGACAAGGGAGCCCACCGGGCCCAGAUAGAGACUUCAGAACCCACUCCUGAGAACAGCGGAGCCAGGCGCUUAGAGGAAGACCAAAUGCUGCCAGGACACGGAUUGUCCAGGGAUUACAUUCCAGCAUCUUAUUAGAUGGCCUGAUUAGCCAGAGGUUUCCAGGCCGUCUGUCCGCCUCCAGGAGAUGGACUGGGACCUUUAGACAUCGGUGGAGAACAGGAUGCUCUGUCCCUUGCUGUCCAGGGCAGGGAUGGCCUCCAGCCGCAAGAAGUACAGCAGCACCUCGACCUGCCCUCGCGGAGUGGGGAAGAGGAGAGUGGCUCGGAAGGGGGCGCACAGCUGCUGGUGGGAGGUCUUUGGGGCCCAAGAUCCCAAGUCCACCUCAGGUGCUAGAAACCCCUGCUGGUGUCAUGAACCCCUUACAGUGAGACGGGGGUGGGGUGGGGUCCUGACAAGGCAUGACUUGUUGGGUGGGGGGUGGUUAUUUAUUUUAGAGAUGCACAGGGCCUUGCUCUGUCCCCCAGGCUGGAGUACAGUGGCUCCAUCAUGGAUCACUGCAGCCUCUAACUCCUGGGCUCAAGCAAUCCUCCUGUGUCAGCCUCCCAGAUACCUAGGAUUACAGAUAUGUGCCCCAAUGCCUGCCUAAUUUUUCUUUGUAUUUUUUCUGGAGAUGGGGUUUGCUACAUUGCCCAGACUGGUCUCAAACACCUGGGUUCAGUUGUCCUGCCUCGGCCUCCCAAAGUGCUGGGAUUACAGGCAUGAGCCACCACACUCGAACACUUGGGGUGGUUUUAAGCCCCCAGCAAGGUGCACCAGCAGGACCAGGAGGUGGCCUAGGCACCCCCUAUCACUCCCAUCCAUGCAAACCUAGGCAAGUCCCUGUCUCUGAAUCUCAGCCACCACCACAUACAAUGCAAGUCGGAAGAUGGGCAGGACUGGGGGUGGGGCAGGCAGAGGCCACCUCUGUCAGGCUGGGGUUGCAUGGGCUGGAGGCUGUCUUCCCAUACCUGGGACAUGACCUCCAAGGACCAGCUGUCAGUCAUGGUGAUGGGCUGGCUGGGGUUGGCAGGGAGCUUGCUCUCCUUCUCGGAGGGCCGGAGCAGCGUGGGGCCAAACACCGUGCCAAGGUUGUGCAGGGACAUCUUAUUGACUGCCUCCUUCUCUGCCAUCCUGUAGAGGACCGAAGCAGAGGGUGCUGUUUCAACGCCACCACCAGGAGAGAGGCAGAGGGGCUGUGCCGUGCUAGAGUCCUCAGGGAGGGAGUGACCUCGACCCUGGCUGUGCUGCAAGCUGACUCCAGCCUUGGGGUCAGCAGCACCCGGCAAACAGCAGCAGGAGGAGCCGCUAGAGCAGCUGCUCAUGGGCAGAGCUGCCCUCGGGCAACUCCUGCCACCACCCCCUCCCCAGGGAGCCCAAGGCAGGGGAGGCUCAGCAUGGAAUGAAACAGGGGAGUGAGGGACACAAGGAGGUGGGAAGUGGGAGGGUCCCAGCCCCACCAAGUACGCAGAGACCCCCUCGACAUCCUGGACACCACAGGGGCACCUGCAGGCUGGGAGACCAGGUCCUCUGUGCAUGGGCCCGGGAGGCAGACCUGCCCUAAGGGUGAUGCACAGGCUACAGGUGCUGCACGCUCCAGCGCCCACUCUAGACAUCAGCCUCCAGGUUGACUAAGGGUCAGGUCAUGUUUGAAACCAUGCUUGGCUGGACCAGGACCCAUGGCAAGAGCACCUGGGCACCAGUGUUUAGCCCUGGUCUGCAGGAAGGAGGACAGCAGACUUUAGGACCCCACAGCACGGCAGUGCUGACCAUUUCACCCACUUGGCCUCCUUGAGAAAUAUGGAUGGGGAGCCCUCUGGGGAUGGGCAAGGCCUUCCAGGAUAGGCUCAGUUUUGGUCCCCUGCUUUUUGAGGUUGGGUUAAAAUUCCGACCAUGGCAGAGGAAGCACAGCUCGGGUUCCCACACCUCACUUUUCACAGCCUCUGAGGGCAGCAGUGCACGUGGAGGAGACGUCUCCCAUGAGGCCAAGGCCUCCAGUGCUCACCGAUGCCCUCUGCGAAGUUGGGGUAGAACUCGUCAGUGAAGAGGGGCUCGGGCAGCUCACGGAAGUACAGCUUCAGCAUGCCUGCGAUGGCGUUCACGUCCAUCUCGCUCAUCAUCACUGACACGUCCUUGUUAUCUGGAAAGAGCACGGAAAUGCAGCGGCCUCCUUGAAGAUCCUGAUAAAUGAAGAAAAGACACAGAGAAGGAUGUGACAUGCCUGGGCCAUGGAGCACUCUGAGAUCUCAUCGUGGACACCACUGCCCACACCUCCAUCCCGUCCUGCGCAGGCCGACACUCACUGACGUUGAAGCCUGCCUUCAGUGCCUGGAUGUCUGCGGCCACCCCAGACAUGCGGUAGAUGCCCACCUCCUCCAUGCCUCGGCGCUCGAUCUCCUCCACGCACUGACGCACGAUGUAGGGCACCUUGGACCUCUCUCUCCUGCGGGAGGAGGGAAUGUUCUCAGUGUCCUAACAGCCCUGCUUGGGCCAUAACACAGGAGACCUGCUCCCUAUCUGCGCACCCGGAGGUGGGGUGAGGACGGUGACGAAGGUACCCAGGUCUGGGGCUGCACACAGAGCCUUCUGCAUGCCUGUCCUCCCUCUGCAAGCUCUGUCCUCAUUGCAUGUACUUUCUCAGGAACCUUUCAAGCGGCCAGAACCCCUGCGAAUCACACAUGACCUUUGUGGGAAGGUCAGGAGGCCUGUCUAAGUCAAGUCAGCACGGGAAGGGCAUCUGACAGAUUCCAGGCCUGGGGUUAGCAGCCUGUGCCCCCGGCUGGGAGGUCAGACCCGGUGUUGGUCCUGCCACCCACGUGCUGUGUGAGAGGAGAAUCCCUGACCCCUGCCCUGGGCCUUAACACACAUCCGACGAAUGAAUGAAGGGUUGCCUCAGCACCGGUGCUCCAAGUCCUGCGAUGCUAAGUGCUUUUCUCCUCUGAGUCUUAGCAAUGGACAAUUCCAAUACCUCCACACAGGACACUAGAGUAAGAAUCCUUCACAGUUAGAACGCAGUGCUGUGCGGAGGCCUUAACUUGAGUUCUGUUUUGCACCUGGAUUUACCAGCACAUCAAAGCUGCUUCGCAAGCCCCCUCAUCAGCAGGGCUUAUGUGGGGGAGCUGCUGAUGGAGUCCUCGCUGCUCAUGCCCACAGCCCUCCCAGAGUGCUAUGCGAGUGGCUGCCGUGCAGUUGGGGGUGGGGCGUGGUGUUUAGACACAGAUAGGAGUCCAGGGUAUGACUGAUGGAGGCCCCGGCCCACGUGACCAGCAAGGUCAGAGGCCCAGCCAGAUUCCAUCCUGGGGAAGCAAAUGAAUUCUCAGAGGAAGUGGUCUGUGUCUGUAUGAACUGCUCUCAAACCAACAAAUAGGCUUCUCUUGGCAACUGACUCGUGACAAAGGGUUCAAGAUUGUUUGAAAAAAAAAAAAAAGGGGGGGAACAGGGAGGCAGUAGGUCCUGGAAAAGUAAAUUCUUUAUUUUACAAUAAGAAAGUGAUUACAUAUUUUAUUUUUUUUACAAUGGUGGAAAAUUAGAAGUGAUUGUGAAAAUGAUGUCUACCCGCCUUGCUGAUGAGUAGGAUGUGAUUUGGCUCUUUAGGAAACUGAAUUUGCAGAACUUAAGAAUAUUGAUUUAUAAAGGGCAUGGCCAUUGACCCAGUCCAUCUUAUGCAAAUCUGGAUGCCAUAAAUAAUAUUUAAAAAUGAAAGUAUUGGGGUGGAGGUUGCAGUGAGCGGAGAUCGCCCCACUACACUCCAGCCUGGUCAACAGAGUGAGACUCUGUCUCAAAACAAAAAAAAAAAAAAAAAAAGGAAGAAGUCAUUCCCAACAUUGCUCAUCAAAUUAUGACCAUAAAUUUCCAGGAUCAGACUAACGGCUAAAGAGACUGAUGCAUCAACACCAGGCAGAGAAUAAAGCAGAUUUUUUUUGUUUUGUUUUGGAGAGCCUCUAGGAACUUGAAAAAUACAUAUGCCACACUCUUAAGACCCGGUGGUUCUUAAUCAGGGAUGUUCAUUAAAAUGCUGGAAAACUGUAAAGACUUCCAGGUCCCAUCCAAGGAGAUUUUGCUUCUGAUUGACUGGCUAGUGGCCUGGCCAUUGGUAUUUUGAAAAAUCCCUCCAAGUGAUUCUUUUACAUCCCAGCUAGAAAACCCUAAAUUAAAGGUGAAAAACCAGACACCAAGUGGCAUUUAAAUAAAUGUCAACUUUAACUCCACAAAGCAUCUGGUUGCACGUGGACAGAAAGAGAAGGAAAGAGGGCCCUAUAUCUGGAUAACUUGGAAAUGUGCUCCCCCUAGCAAGAUAUCUACCAAAAUUAAAACCAUAUUUGAGGAUGCUGGCACUGCGAGCAAUAUAUAAAUGAUGCAUGUAACAUCAUUUAAUAUGAUCUUAUUUUUAAAAAUGAGUAGAGUGGUGUUUUCUAGCUGUUAGUGUUUCCAAAUAUCAAUGUAGAAAUUAGCCUUCUGCAGCUGCAGAGGCAAUUCAGUUUGCAGCUUGCUUGCAUGUGGCCUAGAGCCACCCAGCCUGAUAUGUACUAAUUUUUUGUUUAACUUGCCAGAGUAGAAACUCAGUUUCUGGGCCAGGCAUAGUGGCUCAUGCCUGUAAUCCCAGAACUUUGGGAGGCCAAGGCAAGCAGAUCACAAGGUCGGGAGUUCAAGACCAGCCUGGCUGACAUAGUGAAACCCUAUCUUUGCUAAAAAUACAAAAAUUAGCCCGGCAUGCUGGCAGGCACCUGUAGUCCCAGCUACUUGGGAGGCUGAGGCAGGAGAAUCACUUGAACCUGGGAGGCAGAGGUUGUGGUGAACUGAGAUCAUGCCCCUGCACUCCAGCCUGGGCAACAGAGUGAGACUCCAUCUC
rnacentral:lncRNA from 1 species